rnacentral:rRNA from 1 species
AGAGUUUGAUCCUGGCUCAGAUUGAACGCUGGCGGCAUGCCUUACACAUGCAAGUCGAACGGUAACAGGUCUUCGGAUGCUGACGAGUGGCGAACGGGUGAGUAAUACAUCGGAACGUGCCCGAGAGUGGGGGAUAACGAGGCGAAAGCUUUGCUAAUACCGCAUACGAUCUCAGGAUGAAAGCAGGGGACCGCAAGGCCUUGCGCUCACGGAGCGGCCGAUGGCAUAUUAGCUAGUUGGUGGGGUAAUGGCCCACCAAGGCGACGAUCCGUAACUGGUCUGAGAGGAUGAUCAGUCACACUGGAACUGAGACACGGUCCACACUCCUACGGGAGGCAGCAGUGGGGAAUAUUGGACAAUGGGCGAAAGCCUGAUCCAGCCAUGCCGCGUGUGUGAAGAAGGUCUUCGGAUUGUAAAGCACUUUAAGUUGGGAGGGAGGGCAGUAAGUUAAUACCUUGCUGUUUUGACGUUACCAACAGAAUAAGCACCGGCUAACUUCGUGCCAGCAGCCGCGGUAAUACGUAGGGUGCAAGCGUUAAUCGGAAUUACUGGGCGUAAAGCGUGCGCAGGCGGUUAUAUAAGACAGAUGUGAAAUCCCCCGGGCUCAACCUGGGAACUGCUUUUGUGACUGUAUAGCUAGAGUACGGAGGAGGGGGGGGGAUGGAAUUUCCGGGUUGUAGCAGUGAAAUGCGUAGAUAAUGCCGGAAGGAACCACCGGAUGGGCGAAGGCAAUCCCCCUGGAACCUGUACUGACGCUCAUGCACGAAAGGCGGUGGGAGAGCAAACAAGGAUUAGAUACCCCUGUACUCCACGCCCCUAAACGAUGUCCACGUGGGGGUUUGGUUGGGGUUCUUCACUGAACUCAAUUAACGAAGCUACGCGUGUAGGUGACCGGCCUGGGAGGAGUACCGCCCGCAAGGUCGAACUCGAUGUAGUGGACGGCACGCACACGGAGAUAUGAUGUUGAUUAAACUUCCG